GAAAGAGGGGCUGAAAGUCGCCCUUGAAUAACCACUGCAGUCGCACCUACAAAGGUGCAGUCCCCACAGCCUCAUAGCUGCUUGUAGGUGCCAUCUCUUAAGGCCAUUACCAUAGCAAUUAAUACUGAACAUGGGCUUUGGAGCAGACAAACACUCAAACCAAACAGGGGGGAUGGAGGAAAGGAGCUUCAGUGGCAAGAUCCCCUGGACUCCUGUCCUGGCCCCUCCUCCUCCUGCCCCACCCCUGCUCUCCUCCUGCUCCCCCUCUCAGAGCAUCCCCUGACCCUGCUCCUCUCCCAGGUGUAUUUCGAGCUUAAGAACCACCCAGAGAUGAGAUUCUUCCACUGGUUCAGCAAGUGGAGGACGCUGCAUCGUGACCAGGAGUGCGAGGUCACCUGGUACAUGUCCUGGAGCCCCUGCACAAAGUGUACAAGGAAUGUGGCCACGUUCCUGGCCGAGGACCCGAAGGUUACCCUGACCAUCUUUGUUGCCCGCCUCUACUACUUCUGGGACCCAGAUUACCAGGAGGCGCUUCGCAGCCUGUGUCGGGAAAGAGACGGUCCGCGUGCCAACAUGAAAAUCAUGAAUUACGACGAAUUUCAGCACUGUUGGAACAAGUUCGUGUACAGCCAAAGAGAGCUAUUUGAGCCUUGGAAUAAUCUGCCUAAAUAUUAUAUAGUACUGCACAUCAUUCUGGGGGAGAUUCUCAGGUGAGGGUCUCCCUCCAGGCUCAUCGCCUGGCUCCUCUCACCUCCUGCUCAUCCUCUUGAGGCUUCUCCUCUGUCCCAGACCAGGUCCUCUCCUGGCCAGGCCCUCCCGCCCUCCCUCCUGCCCGCUGCCUGCCCUCAUGAUUACACCCCCUCAUCCACACUCCUCGUGCUCCCUCCGCCUUGGUGCCUCCCACCUGCUUUCCUGGGCUCUUCCUGUGAGUGAGAGGCCCCUCCUGCCUCCAGAGAGCGACCUCCAUCCACCCCCACAGCCUGGGAGCCCCAACCUGGCUCCUUCCAUCUCCCUGGCAUAACCGAAUUUGUCAUAAAACUGGACGUACGAAGUGGGCAUGAAUAGUCACAAGCCCGACAGUCGGAAGUUUUGAGCAACGUCCUUAAAGGCCGACCUGAGCCCCUGAGAAGGAGCUGCCUCCGUGGAAACAGAGCUUCAGGCUUUGGCUGCCAUAGAUGUGCCGGGCCGGGUGCCCACAGGGCAGGCAUUUAUUUUCUCACAGAUCUGGAGGCUGCAAGUCCAAGCUGGAGGGGUAGGCGGGGUUGUGUCUUCUGCAGCCGCUCCUCCUGGCUGGCAGGGGGUCCCUUCCGGCCGUGUCCUCUCUGGCCUUUCCUCUGUGCACCUGCACUCCUGGGGUCUCUCUGCCUCCAAAUGUCCUCCUCGUUUAUGGACCCCAGCCAUGUGAAUUUGGGCCCACAUUAAAGGUCUCAUUUAAGUUAAUCAUCUGAUGAAAGGACCUGUCUCCAGGCCAGGUGCAGAGGCUCAUGCCUAUAAUCCCAGCACUUUGGGAGUCCAAGGCGGGUGGAUCACCUGAGGUCAGGAGUUCGACACCAGCCUGGCCAACAUGUUAAAACCCCAUCUCUACCAAAAAUACAAAAAUUAGCCGGGAGUGGUGGUGUGCGCCUAUAAUUCUAGCUACUCGGGAGGCUGAGGCAGGAGAAUCGCUUGAACCCGGGAGGCAGAGGUUGCGGUGAGCCCAGACUGUGCCACUGCACUCCAGCCUGGGCAAAAAAGCGAAACUUCUCCUCAAACAAACAAGAAAGAAAGGACCUGUUUCCAAAUACAGCCACCCUUUGAGGGAGCGGGGGUUAAGGCUUCAAUACAUUGAUUUUGGGGAGAAACAGUGAAGCCCACGGCAACAAGCUGCAGUCAUUGUGGGCGGGCCUGGGUGGGGAGUGCAGGGGUUCCUGUCCUGUGUGUCUGUUUCCCAGGGGAGUCCUGACCUGACUCUCACAGCCCCUCCACCCAGAUGUUCCUGCGUGCUUCACCUACCCCAUUCCUUCUGCACCCAACACUCUGAGCCCCUCCUUAGCCGCCUCAACAGGCUCCCCUGCUCCCCCACUCCCGGGCUGCUCCUCUUCUCAGCCUCUCUCUGGGCCUCUCUGGGGUCCCGACAUGACCCCUCAGCUGAUGCCUGUGGCUUCCCCAGCCAGAAUCUUCCCAGUUCCAGGCUGGGCUCUGCAGAGUCCUAUCAAAGGUCGCAUCCUCCCCUCUGUCCAGUCCAGGGUGAAGAUCUGGUGUUUCUGGUUUGGAAAUGCCUCUGCACUGGGUGCCAAUAAUUCACUUUUAACUUUAUAAUUUGUGGUUUUGUAAGGACAGGUAUUUUUGGCAACAG
rnacentral:sRNA from 1 species